CUAGCUUCCCAGGGUCAGACUGAUUUCUUGGGAGAAACAAUAUAGCAAAACAGUAGACGGUUUUGAAGUCCUGAUCUAAAACAAAACACAUAUAAAACAAAACAAAACAAAAUAAAUAAGUCAAAAUGGUGACAAAACAAUGCAAAUUAAUCUGAAAUCUGUAACUGGGAGGAACACACACAAGCAUCCUGUCUCAUGUGGAACACACAUUGGGUAAGUUGUUUGUAGAGAUUCAACUUUAUUUUUCCAGAUGGCUACACUCACUUAUCCUAAACCAUUAGUUGAAUAAUCUAUCUUUUCCACUCUGAUGUGAAAUGACAGUUAUAUUUUUAAAACUAGGCUUUCAUACAAGAUAUUUUCCAAAUAAGCUCAACCUAUCCCAAUGACCCUUAAUAUGCAAGACCUUUAUAUUACUAUCUUUGAAUUUUUGAAGUUCUUUUUUUUUUUUAACUUAUUCACUUUCCAGUCCACUCACUGCCCCCUCCCAGUCUUCCCAUACAGCUCCAACUUUAGCCACAUCUGGGCGACAGUUGGACAGUUGUCACCAUGGGAUAUCUCUUAGCAUUACCUCAUCACAGACUCAUCACAGAGGUAAGACUACAGAGUAAGAUACUUGAGGUGUUGGCUUUAGGAGUCAUGAUAGGCAGCAUAGUGCCUUGUGGGAUUGUGGUGAAUAUUUUAGGAGGGCUGGGUCACUCUGGGAUUUAGCUCACCCCAGACUGACCCUACGCAGCAUAUUUAAAGAAAUUAUAAAGACUGCAUUUCCAAGAAAGAAAGAGUUGUGCCGGUGGGUGUAAAACUCAUGCCUUAAUGAUAGCUGUCUACUUACUUCUGACACCAUCAGAGAGAAUUCAUUUAUUUGAGAUAAUCAGAAUUUUUCAUGUUAAAGGCAAUAUGUGAUGUAGUGUGCUGACCAAAGACUGUGAAGAGGAGACCCAGUUUUCCCAUCCCAAUUUGACCUCAGAAUGGAGGUUCAGCUCAACUUAUUGGAACCUCAAUUUUCUUAAUCAUUUAUAGAAGGUAAUUAGGUGUAAGAUCUAUUUCCAGCCAAGUGAAGACUGUCACUGUGCAGUAAUGUGACUCUUCUGUUUGUUCAUUUAAAACAUUUAUUUUUAAUGUUUUGAGAUGGUCUGACUAUGCUGUAGGCUGGUCUAGCUUGUACUUUGCUCCAUAGCCCAGGCUGACUUGUAACAAGCAAUCCUCAUGGUUCAGCCUCCUGAGCGCUAGAAUUAUGGGCACGGCUCACUAUCCCUCAUUUGAAAACUUCCUUAUCACUUGAUAGGUGGGAAAAAUUCUCCUGGUUAGAAAUGAACAAGGCACAAUUAUUCUUUUAUGAAGCUUAUAAAAAAAGACAAUUAUUUAUUUGGAAGAGGGAAGAGCAAUGGAACAAUAGUGGGAAUUGAAAGUAGAAGAUGCCCAUUCCCUAAUUCCAUUUCAGAAUGUGGGCUCUAUGAUGCGCUCCAACUCAACUGUGAGACCUGUUCUGACUCCUUCUAGGUUGGGAUAUGAAUUGCAUUGAAUAGUGGUGACAUUUCAUAAACCUUUUUUCCUAUGAUGACAUUUAAUUUAGAGUUAUUGUAUAUUUAUUUUUGGGGGAGACUUUUGCUUAUGACUAGUUUCUAACAGCUAUUGUGAAGCUGUGUCCAAAUAGCAGUCUGGAAAUCACCUAAGCCGGGUGCUUUUGUGGUGUCUCACUGAUGCCACCUCUCUUGGUGUGUUUAAAUUUGAAUCCCAAUUUUGAAAAUGGUGUGCAAAUCACACUUAUUUAACAUAUUUGAAUAAACACCUUCACCCUGUAUCUCUGCCACCAGGCCAAGAAGUGAUGGAUCAGUGACUUCAGAAAGGUGAGUUUUGGUUUGUCAAAGUUGAAGAUAAGACAACACCUAAUAGCUAAUAAGAAAUGGGUGGGGGAUGGGGAAGCAGAUCAAUUCUUAAAAGUCAGGGACAAAAGGUUAAUAGGGUAGCUUUGGUAAUAUAGAUCUGCAGAAGGUUGCCAAGCAGGAUAGCACCAGGGAAUAUACACAUGGUAUGAAUGGCGCUUAAGAUAUACUCCCUAGCAAAUAUCAUAUAGGAGGGCAUGACAAGAACGAUUCACGGUCACAUGACAUUCUGGUUUUAUGGCACUUGGCACUAAUUGUAGAGAUCACCAUACAUAAAUCACUGUACUAUACAUUUACAUUUUCCAACAUCAACAGAAAAAUGUCUGCCCACUCAGUUUCUGCCAAGUAAGAAUUAAAAGAGGGUCAGGAGGUUUAUGGCUAGUUUGAACAUUUCUAGAAGGUGAAAACAAGCAGCAACAUUAUAUUUCUACCAAGAUAGGAUUCUUUCUAUCCAAUCCAUGGUGCAAUGAUGUCUUCAGGUAAUCUUCAAGUGUCACUUAGCUACUUUUCAUGAUGUCAGCUGGGUGAGCUUCGUGGUCUUUCAGGGUGGAGGGAUAAAUAUAAGUGUCAAUUCAUUGUGCGUCUAAGGUCAAGAAUAGUUCAGUGGUAUAGUUCUCCAUUAGGAUGAAUACAAUCAAACAAAUGCACAGAGUACUUGAUUACUGUGUGGAAAGCUUAAGCUUUGGUGAAACAAAGAAAAGGGUUUAAUGGGAAAAGGAUGUACGUUGUAGUUUUCUUCUUUCUCAACUAGUUUUGUCAAGUGCGGUCUACUGAAGGAUGUAGACCAUACUUUCUAUUCACGAAUCAGAGACCUCUACAAUUUUUGUGUGGUUUCCACUAAGUAAUUCAUUUUCUGAACCCCAAGCCCAUGUGUUUAAACGGUUUCAUGGUGCCAUUUACAUACAGGAACUAGCUAAU
rnacentral:lncRNA from 1 species